UAGCGGAGGGGGCUAGCGUUUGUUCGGGAAUUACUGGGCGUGAAGCGCACGUAGGCGGCUUUGUAAGUUAGGAGGUGAAAGUCCGGGGCUCAACUCCGGAUCUGCGGUGGGUACGGGGCAGACUAGAGUGAUGUAGGGGAGACUGGAAUUCCUGGUGUAGCGGUGAAAUGCGCAGAUAUCAGGAGGAACACCGAUGGCGAAGGCAGGUCUCUGGGCAUUAAACUGACGCUGGAGGAGCGAAAGCUGGGGAGCAACAGG
rnacentral:rRNA from 1 species